ensembl:ncRNA C09H10.13 ncRNA
UUUCGGAGUGUCGUUUACUAAACUUAAAGGCGCACGCACUUUCGCUUUUGGCGUCUCGCAACGAAAGUGGCACACAACAAACGAGUGGGACAGUAUGGCUUUUCAGGCAACCUGUGAAUUUUAAUGCUGGCCUACGGUUUUUUCACGUUUUUUCCCGAGAAUUUCGGAAUUUUUUUGAUAAAUUGGACUGAAGAAAAAUCUGCAAUUAAUUCUGUGCUCGUUCCUGGAAAAUCUAUCUUCAAAAUUCGAUGAAAUAAUAAUUUUUUGGUGAAACCGAAUUUUUGUUGGUGAAAC